rnacentral:rRNA from 2 species
CUUGAACUAGAUAAGAGGUCCAGCCUGCCCAGUGAAAAUAUUCAACGGCCGCGGUAUCCUAACCGUGCGAAGGUAGCGUAAUCACUUGUUCUUUAAAUGAGGACUAGUAUGAAUGGCACCACGAGGGUUUUACUGUCUUCUUUUUUUAAUCAGUGAAACUAAUCUCCCCGUGAAGAAGCGGGAAUUUAAUUAUAAGACGAGAAGACCCUAUGGAGCUUUAAACAAACAACAUUUGCUGCACAUAACACUUUUACUUUUAAAAAGUAUAGCAUUAUGAUUUUUAGUUUUUGAUUGGGGUGAUCACGGAGCAAAAUGAAACCUCCACGCCGAAAGGGUUGUACCCUGAGCAAAAAGCUACAGCUUUAAGCACUAAGAAAUUAACGCAAUUUGACCCAAUAUUUUGAUCAACGAAC